rnacentral:rRNA from 1 species
AGAGCGAACGCUGGCGGCAGGCCUAAUACAUGCAAGUCGAACGGACCCUUCGGGGUUAGUGGCGGACGGGUGAGUAACACGUGGGAACGUGCCCUUUGGUUCGGAACAACUCAGGGAAACUUGAGCUAAUACCGGAUGAGCCCUUCGGGGGAAAGAUUUAUCGCCAUUGGAGCGGCCCGCGUCUGAUUAGCUAGUUGGUGAGGUAAAGGCUCACCAAGGCUUCGAUCAGUAGCUGGUCUGAGAGGAUGAUCAGCCACACUGGGACUGAGACACGGCCCAGACUCCUACGGGAGGCAGCAGUAGGGAAUCUUGCGCAAUGGGCGAAAGCCUGACGCAGCCAUGCCGCGUGAAUGAUGAAGGUCUUAGGAUUGUAAAAUUCUUUCAGCGGGGACGAUAAUGACGGUACCCGCAGAAGAACGCCCGGCUAACUUCGUGCCAGCAGCCGC